UCAGUUUACCUCAUUCAACCUUCACUGCAAUCAAGGAGGAAGCUUUAUCAUCCCUAUCUGACAGAACUGAGGACAUGGCUGAAGGAGAUUAAAAGCACAUUUGGAAAUACCGCUUUAGAUACUCUACAAGUUAACCUUGGAAUAAACCACACUAUCGGAGAGCAUUGUCACUCACUGACGGAUUUCUUUCAUUCCUCUCUGCUUUGGCAUUAGGCAGUUAGCCACAUCAAGAGACUUCAUAAGAAACAGCCCUGUAACUCAUUUGUUGCUUUCCUGUAAGAAUGUUGUCAAGGACAUUAUUUACUUCAUUACAAAGGGUCUUCUUUGUGCUGGAGAAACUUCUCUCAGAUCUCUGUGCCAGGAAGAAUGGUGUUUCUCCCAAACACUGGGUUUGAUAUUACAGAUAGUAUAAAUUAUAUAUCCAGGCACAUCCUCCUUUAGUGAGUAUAUACAAACUGGCUUCACUUCAUUAUUUUCAUCUUCCAACUUCUCCAUAAUAAUAUUUACUUUUAAAAAUGUUCUUAACAAUGAAUAUGACCAAGACAAUUUGAGGAAACCAAUCAUAAACUUUGUGUCAAUAUAGUAAUCAUGUUUCCUGCAGGGAGAUACCACUGUUCCCACUAAAACAGAACACAACAAAAGGAGGCAGGAGAGAAAUGAAUUACUUAGGACCUGUCUAGGUUGAAAAGGCAAACUAGAAGUGGGGCACACCUAACUUGUUUAAAAAGACUUUGUCAACUAUUAUUUGUGUACUCUUGGCAUUUCUGUGUUCUCCUCAUUCCUAUUUCAUUCCUAUUCCCCUUUAAUAUUUCCUUUACAUACCUGAUACCUUCCCUCCCAAAAAUGGUGUGUGUCUAUGUAGUUCCUUGAUGAUUUUGUCAACGAAUAAUAAACCCUGGGUUUUCGAUAAGGAGGUGAAAAGAAAGGGCUCUGCUUGAUUCUG
rnacentral:lncRNA from 1 species